rnacentral:tRNA from 1 species
GAUGUUGUAGGCUCAGAGGUUAAGAGCACUGGCUGCUCUUCUAGAAGUCCUGAGUUCAAUUCCCAGCAACCACA